GCCGUACACCCUGCCGGAGUCUCGCUGAAAUUCAUUGAAAUCAUCAAAUGUCAAAAGUAAAAAAAAAAAAAAAAAAAGGAUGGGCACGCGUGUGGGGCGACAGCUGUUUGCCAGUUAGAUCGAGCGCCGAGCAGCUGGUUAGUCCAAGAGAAGGAUUGUGUCUAUGUGUUUGGUAUUUAGGAAGUGGCAGCGAAUGCAGCGAGAACGCCUUCAAGAACGACCGUUCCGAAGAGAGUGAGGUCAAAGGUCAAAAGUGCGGCGUGGCAUGCCGUGAGAAAACACUGUGCGGCACACGCUGCAUGCCUGUGUUGGCGUCAUGCAUGCAGAAUUACCCAGUUUAACCUCAAAUGGAAAUUCACUAGAAACUGUCCAGAAAUGUUCCACCCCAUUGCAACCACUAGCUCUAAAGCGCGUCUGCAAGAGCCUCUUCUACAUCUGAGCCGGUGUUGAGGACCCUCAUGGCGCUGACCGAGGAUGACAGGCGGCUGGACUGACCCAUGCCGAAACUGGACCCUGCAGCCCCAAAAGCAUCAGGUGUGUGGAGAGCUCCAGUGGAGCGAGAGUAGCUCCGUGUGGCUGCAACCGACAUUAACACACACAAUUUAUGGCUGAAUCACCGCGCUGCUACGUUGCAGGAACAAGGCAGCGAAAGAAAAAAAAAGGCCUCAACACUGCUCAUCAUUAUCAUCAUCAUCAUCAUCAUCAUCACCGCCAUGGGGGCGGGGCCGCUACUGCUACUCACCGAGGGGUGCGAAUGAGCGAAUGGGGCUGGUGUCCCGGCUGCUCUCCCUGCUGGCCUCUCGGCUGCAGCCCUGACUCAUACUGGGCCGGGGGAUACGACUGCCCCGAGCUGACGCCAGCCGGGGGGAAGCGGGGAAGUGUGCGCGGGGGAGAGGGGACGAGAGCCGCGCCGCAGCAGAAGGAAAGACGAGGAGGAAGAACAUCGGUGGUGAGACGGACGUCGAGCGUGAAACAGAGAGCAAGACACAAACGUGAGGGGUGACGGAGGCGUGGAAGAAAGGGCGGGUGAGGAAUAACCACAUGGAUGAUUGACACGGGUCAGAACAUGAGCACAGGUCUACUUGCAUCGGGGAGAUCAAAGAACAUGCAACUUAAAGGGUGAUACUGAGAAGGCCAAGCCCGCACAAGCAUGAGCGCAUUAAAACAUGCAUCACUGUGCCUUCUUCAGACUUCUGAUUGGCUCAGUUGGGCAUCAAUAGCACCACCUGGUGCUUUGGCAUGCACACAACAGCUCGUAAAGCAGGGUGUCAAACUCAUUUCCAUUGUUAACAGUGA